rnacentral:rRNA from 1 species
UACGUAGGGUGCGAGCGUUAAUCGGAAUUACUGGGCGUAAAGCGUGCGCAGGCGGGGAUGUAAGGCAGAUGUGAAAUCCCCGGGCUCAACCUGGGAACUGCAUCUGUGACUGCAUCGCUGGAGUGCGGCAGAGGGGGAUGGAAUUCCGCGUGUAGCAGUGAAAUGCGUAGAUAUGCGGAGGAACACCGAUGGCGAAGGCAAUCCCCUGGGCCUGCACUGACGCUCAGGCGCGAAAGCUAGGGGAGCAAACGGG